rnacentral:rRNA from 1 species
UAGCGGAGGAAAAGAAACUAACAAGGAUUCCCCUAGUAACGGCGAGUGAACCGGGAAGAGCUCAAAUUUGAAAUCUGGCGUGCUCAGUGCGUCCGAGUUGUAAUCUAUAGAGUCGUUUUCCGUGCCGGACUGUGUCCAAGUCCCUUGGAACAGGGUAUCAAAGAGGGUGAUAAUCCCGUACUUGACACAAUGACCGGUGCUCUGUGAUACGUCUUCUACGAGUCGAGUUGUUUGGGAAUGCAGCUCAAAAUGGGUGGUGAGUUCCAUCUAAAGCUAAAUAUUGGCGAGAGACCGAUAGCGAACAAGUACCGUGAGGGAAAGAUGAAAAGCACUUUGGAAAGAGAGUUAAACAGUACGUGAAAUUGUUAAAAGGGAAACGAUUGAAGUCAGUCGUGACUGAGAGGCUCAGCCGGUUCUGCCGGUGUAUUCCCCUCAGUCGGGUCAACAUCAGUUUUGUUCGGUGGAUAAGGGCGGUUGGAAGGUGGCACCCUCGGGUGUGUUAUAGCCAACUGUCGCAUACAUCGGAUGAGACUGAGGAAUGCAGCUCGCCUUUAUGGCCGGGGUUCGCCCACGUUCGAGCUUAGGAUGUUGACAUAAUGGCUUUAAACGACCCGUCUUGA